rnacentral:rRNA from 1 species
AUACAGAGGGUGCGAGCGUUAAUCGGAAUUACUGGGCGUAAAGCGCGCGUAGGCGGUUUGGUCAGUCGGAUGUGAAAGCCCUGGGCUUAACCUGGGAAUUGCAUUCGAUACUGCCAGACUGGAAUGUAGUAGAGGGAAGUGGAAUUCCGGGUGUAGCGGUGAAAUGCGUAGAUAUCCGGAGGAACAUCAGUGGCGAAGGCGACUUCCUGGACUAACAUUGACGCUGAGGUGCGAAAGCGUGGGGAGCAAACAGGAUUAGAUACCCCAGUAGUCC